rnacentral:rRNA from 1 species
GACGAACGCUGGCGGCGUGCCUAACACAUGCAAGUCGAGCGGAGAUAGUUUGGGGAAGUUUUCGGAUGGAACCAGGUUAUCUUAGCGGCGGACGGGUGAGUAACGCGUGAGCAACCUGCCUUUCACAGGGGGAUCAGGCGGCGAAAGCCGCUCUAAUACCGCAUGAGCCCACGGUGUAGAUAAUGCGGGGGUCAAAGGAGCAACCCGGUGAGAGAUGGGCUCGGGUCCGAUUAGGUAGUAGGUGAGGUAACGGCCCACCUAGCCAAUGAUCGGUAGCCGGCCUGAGAGGGUGAACGGCCACAUUGGAACUGAGAGACGGUCCAAACUCCUACGGGAGGCAGCAGUGGGGAAUAUUGGGCAACGGGGGAAACCCUGACCCAGCAACGCCGCGUGAAGGAAGAAGGUUUUCGGAUUGUAAACCUCUGUUCUUGGAGAAGAGAAGAGGACGGUAUCCAAGGAGGAAGCCCCGGCUAACUACGUGCCAGCAGCCGCAGUAAUAC